rnacentral:rRNA from 1 species
CUACGGGGCGCAGCAGUGAGGAAUUUUGCGCAAUGGGCGAAAGCCUGACGCAGCAACGCCGCGUGUACGAAGAAGGCCUUCGGGUUGUAAAGUACUUUCAGAAGGGAAGAAGGGCAUCUGAUUAAGAGUUGGAUGUCUUGACGGUACCUUCAGAAGAAGCUCCGGCUAACUCCGUGCCAGCAGCCGCGGUAAUACGGAGGGAGCAAGCGUUAUUCGGAUUUACUGGGCGUAAAGCGCGCGUAGGUGGCUUAUCAAGUCGGGAGUGAAAGUCCAUGGCCUAACCAUGGAAUUGCUUCCGAACUGGUGAGCUAGAGGAUGAGAGGGGAAGGCGGAAUUCCAGGUGUAGCGGUGAAAUGCACAGAUAUCUGGAGGAACACCAGUGGCGAAGGCGGCCUUCUGGAUCAUACCUGACACUGAGGUGCGAAAGCGUGGGGAGCGAACAGGAUUAGAUACCCUAGUAGUC